rnacentral:other from 1 species
CGCUCCCUGCGGUGUUCGUAAGUUGACCGGGUAUUUUCUUGAGCCUAAUACAUGCCCUGGGGAUCGAAAGUCGCAGCCGGUGUGCAGGUCCGCCUCGAGCGGAAAGCCUUAGGUCGCACAGCGGUUCCCACUUGAACCUAUUGGUUCAAGAACGAAAGUCAGCGACGGCACAGGUGGGGAGCGC